GUGAGUUUGAAAUUGAAAUAUGUAAA
rnacentral:miRNA from 1 species